rnacentral:tRNA from 2 species
GCCCUCGUAGUUCAAUGGAUAGAACUUCUCACUCCUAAGGAGAAAAUGGAAGUUCGAUUCUUCCCGAGGGCACCA